rnacentral:rRNA from 1 species
UAAUACGAACUGUGCGAACGUUAUUCGGAAUCACUGGGCUUACAGGGUGCGUAGGCGGCCUUCCAAGUCAGGUGUGAAAUCCCACAGCUCAACUGUGGAACGGCGCUUGAAACUGGUUGGCUUGAGUCAGCUAGAGGUACACGGAACUUCCGGUGGAGCGGUGAAAUGUGUUGAUAUCGGAAGGAACACCAGAGGCGAAAGCGGUGUACUGGAGCUGGUCUGACGCUGAGGCACGAAAGCGUGGGGAGCGAA